CGUGGGCAAUCUGCCCUGCACUCUGGGACAAGCCCUGGAAACGGGGUCUAAUACCGGAUACUGACCCGCUUGGGCAUCCAAGCGGUUCGAAAGCUCCGGCGGUGCAGGAUGAGCCCGCGGCCUAUCAGCUUGUUGGUGAGGUAAUGGCUCACCAAGGCGACGACGGGUAGCCGGCCUGAGAGGGCGACCGGCCACACUGGGACUGAGACACGGCCCAGACUCCUACGGGAGGCAGCAGUGGGGAAUAUUGCACAAUGGGCGAAAGCCUGAUGCAGCGACGCCGCGUGAGGGAUGACGGCCUUCGGGUUGUAAACCUCUUUCAGCAGGGAAGAAGCGAAAGUGACGGUACCUGCAGAAGAAGCGCCGGCUAACUACGUGCCAGCAGCCGCGGUAAUACGUAGGGCGCGAGCGUUGUCCGGAAUUAUUGGGCGUAAAGAGCUCGUAGGCGGCUUGUCACGUCGGUUGUGAAAGCCCGGGGCUUAACCCCGGGUCUGCAGUCGAUACGGGCA
rnacentral:rRNA from 2 species